AUUGAACGCUGGCGGCAUGCCUUACACAUGCAAGUCGAACGGCAGCACGGGAGCAAUCCUGGUGGCGAGUGGCGAACGGGUGAGUAAAGUAUCGGAACGUGCCCAGUCGUGGGGGAUAACGUAGCGAAAGUUACGCUAAUACCGCAUACGAUCUAUGGAUGAAAGCGGGGGAUCGCAAGACCUCGCGCGAUUGGAGCGGCCGAUAUCAGAUUAGCUAGUAGGUGGGGUAAUAGCUCACCUAGGCGACGAUCCCUAGCUGGUCUGAGAGGAUGACCAGCCACACUGGAACUGAGACACGGUCCAGACUCCUACGGGAGGCAGCAGUGGGGAAUAUUGCACAAUGGGCGCAAGCCUGAUGCAGCCAUGCCGCGUGUAUGAAGAAGGCCUUCGGGUUGUAAAGUACUUUCAGCGGGGAGGAAGGCGGUGAAGUUAAUAACUUCACCGAUUGACGUUACCCGCAGAAGAAGCACCGGCUAACUCCGUGCCAGCCGCCGCAGUAA
rnacentral:rRNA from 1 species